CCAGACUCCUACGGGAGGCAGCAGUGGGGAAUAUUGCACAAUGGGGGAAACCCUGAUGCAGCGACGCCGCGUGAGUGAAGAAGUAUUUCGGUAUGUAAAGCUCUAUCAGCAGGGAAGAAAAUGACGGUACCUGACUAAGAAGCCCCGGCUAACUACGUGCCAGCAGCCGCGGUAAUACGUAGGGGGCAAGCGUUAUCCGGAUUUACUGGGUGUAAAGGGAGCGUAGGUGGCAUGGUAAGCCAGAAGUGAAAACCCGGGGCUCAACCCCGCGGAUUGCUUUUGGAACUAUCAGGCUGGAGUGCUGGAGGGGUAAGCGGAAUUCCUAGUGUAGCGGUGAAAUGCGUAGAUAUCAGGAGGAACACCGGCGGCGAAGGCGGCCUGCUGGACCGCGACUGACGUUGAGGCUCGAAAGCGUGGGGAGCGAACAGGAUUAGAUACCCGAGUA
rnacentral:rRNA from 1 species